AUGAAUUUUUUCAAGUCUUUAAAUUAAACAGGCUUCAGGCCAGGCCAGGCUAAUGGUAGGCUCAGACUUGAGCCUAAAAAAAAGCCUACAUACCAGCUCAGGCCAGGCUCAGGCCUUAAAUUCCUAUAGCAGGCUCAGGCCUAAUUUUUAAAAGCCUGGCUCGGCCUGGCCUAUUUCCACCCCUAGCCGUGGGACAGUAAAUUAAAA